rnacentral:rRNA from 1 species
UACGUAGGGUGCAAGCGUUAAUCGGAAUUACUGGGCGUAAAGCGUGCGCAGGCGGUUUUGCAAGACCGAUGUGAAAUCCCCGGGCUUAACCUGGGAAUGGCAUUGGUGACUGCACGGCUAGAGUGUGUCAGAGGGGGGUAGAAUUCCACGUGUAGCAGUGAAAUGCGUAGAGAUGUGGAGGAACACCGAUGGCGAAGGCAGCCCCCUGGGUCAAAACUGACGCUCAUGCACGAAAGCGUGGGGAGCAAACAGG